AUUCCUGUUGCGCAGUGGGUCAGUGUGUCUGACUGUCAGCCAGAAGGUUGGUGGUUCAAGAAGCCCACCCAGGGAUG